rnacentral:rRNA from 1 species
GAUGAACGCUGGCGGCGUGCCUAAUACAUGCAAGUCGAACGGGGAGUAGCAAUACUUCUAGUGGCGAACGGGUGAGUAACGCGUUGGUGACCUGCCCCGAAGCGUGGGAUACCAAUCCGAAAGGAUUGCUAAUACCGCAUGGAGUUCUCGAGAUUAGAGGCUUGGGAACGAAAGGAGACAUUCACUUCGGGAGGGGCCUGCGUCCCAUCAGCUAGUUGGUGAGGUAACGGCUCACCAAGGCGAUGACGGGUAGGGGACCUGAGAGGGUGGCCCCCCCACAAUGGAACUGAAACACGGUCCAUACACCUACGGGUGGCAGCAGUAGGGAAUAUUGCAAAAUAAGGCGCAAGCCCGACUGCAGCAACGACCGCGUGGACGAUGAAGGCC